GGCGACUUCGACAAGCUGGGCCUCCAUCACCACGUCGACUUCGACAAGCUGAGCCUCCACGGUGAAUUUAACAAGCUGGGCCUCCAUCACCACGGCGACUUUGACAAGCUGGGCCUCCAUCACCAUGGCGACUUUGACAAGCUGGGCCUCCAUCACCAUGGCGACUUCGACAAGCUGGGCCUCGACUUUGACAAGCUGGAGCAUCAUCUUCAUGAGGCUGAAGUUGCUUUCGAGAUUGCAGAGAUGGACAUACAUCUCGCUCACACUGAGCUGGAGGAUCACAAUGACUGCUGAAUCAACAAGGUCAGCCAGCACAAUACCCACUUCCAUUUGUGCCCAUUGAACGUAUUGUGACAGACUGACAGCACACCGAACUGAUAAUUGUUAUGUGCAAAUUUCUGACAUCAUAUUUGGCUUGUACAUUCCAGGGCCUACAGUCCAGGACUUCUUCAUUCAUGAGACUACUGCAGGUGGUGGUUGGGUGGCGUCUUCAAACUGAUGCCCUUUUUCUGCUCUUUCGCACUGGUGUUCAUGGAACCUGUUUUUGGUAUUCCAAAGACGGGUUGAGACAGGGAUUAGAUGAUCUGAUAAUAGCACUGUCCGGUUUUACUUUUGUCACCAUGAUUCUCCUCGAUGUAAAGUGACUACGUGUGCAGGCUGUUGUUUUGUGGAAGUUUUCGUGUUCUUCCUGUGACAACUGUGUGAUAUCUAGCCGAUUUGUUACAUUUCAAGUUCAGUGUCUGGGGAAAUUUGCAUAGGUAGGCAAUCUUAAAAUCAUGUAUUGUGACAUCAUAGUUGUGUUGAUUUGGUACAAAUGGCAGUUCAACUCUGUAGUUCAUGCAUUGUAAGAGUGAUGACAGAAAUGGCAUUUGGUUUGGAAGCUGAAUGAUGACAAUGUAGAAACAAUGGAAUAUAGAGCAGAAGAGGUCGCACCAUUAAGAUUAUUUUAUACUGUAUAGCUCUGGG
rnacentral:lncRNA from 1 species